rnacentral:lncRNA from 1 species
AUAUGUUCAUUUUGAUUGGUCAUUCUUUUUUUUUAAGUUAAUAAUAUAUUUUCAUUUUUAAUAAUUAAAUUAAUUAAAUUGCAUAAAUUAGUAUUUGACUUGUUUAUCCUUAAUGAGCUUAAUUAAUUUAUUCUUGAAAUUUUUAUCUCUAAUGGCAUUCGAAUGUAAUAACUUACAAAGAAGAAGGUUAUUAAAGGGUAAUUAUAAAUUGUACUUCCCAAAUAAUAGUAUAGGAUGUAUAUAUAUGUGAAUAUGAAUCAAAUUUGGAUAAUUUUCAUGUUAAUGACUAACUAUAAACCAGCCUUUAUAUAUUAAAUGAUUGCUUGGAGUGCCAAUAGCAUUUGCUUGCUUCACAAUAACAUCGACAUCGGAUGCAACAUUCCUGUCACGUUUAAUAUAAUCCAAAGACAAACUUAUAUCAUAUAAGAUUGCUUGAGUAAUUACCUGAUAAAAUUAACCGCAAGGCAACAUAUUUAAAGAGAUACAAACAAACCGGGUUCCCACGGAACAAACUUAAUUUGGUUUUUAAUAGUCAAAAUCGCAGAAGCUGGCAGUCCAACAACAAAGGGAGGUAGACCGCCAGGAUCUUCGGUGAAGCAGACGGUCGAGCAACAGAUGGAGGUAGACCGCCAAAAGUAGAUUGCCAGGAUCUUCGGUGAAGCAGGCGGUCAAGCAACACAGAGAGGUAGACCACUGGAAGUAGACUGCCGAGAUUUUUGGUAAAGCAGGCGGUCUACUCCUAGCACUCUACCUCUUAUGUAGCUGAACCGCAUGCUUUAUGUGAAGCAUUUGUCUUCUUUUAUGUUUCUUUGCACCCAAAGUGCCUUUUCCUCCAAACUGUAAAAAAACCUGUAAAAACUCGAUAAAGGACUAACCGACUCUAAAAACACACUUUGACUCAAUAAAAUAUAUGAAAUAAGAAAGAAAACAAAGAUUCAAAACCGAAAAAAACAAGUUACAUCAAUAGAGACGAGGACCCAAAAAAGAUAAUCACCUUUCGUGUUUAUCAAUUGGACUAUCUCCAAACAAACAAUUUGAAGACUAUGCGACCAAACCAAUUGAAAAAACAUGUAAAAAUCCGAGAGCAUCCAUACUAAAAGACGAUUGAGAAGAUUACAGCUUUGCACAUCCAUAUGUAAAAUUUGGCCGUAACACUUUAAAAACACUAAAAUCUAAUGGCAUCUUAUGUAAUAGUUUACCCUUCAUAAAGUUAUUUAAUAUGUAGUGAUUCCCAAUU